AACUCUUAGCGGUGGAUCACUCGGCUCGUGCGUCGAUGAAGAACGCAGCCAGCUGCGAGAACUAAUGUGAAUUGCAGCUUAACAUUGAUCAUCGACACUUCGAACGGGCGGACAUGCGGCCGCGUCCAUCCCGGGGCUAGCCUGUCUGAGGGUCC
ensembl:rRNA 5_8S_rRNA 5.8S ribosomal RNA